rnacentral:lncRNA from 8 species
CAGGGCGUGACAGGGGGUGUUUUGGGUUGUUCUAUGUUUUCUAUUUCUAUGUUUAAGUUCUAGUUGGUCUAUUUCUAUGUUGGGAUUGUUUGGGGUGAUCUCUAAUAGGAGGCAGCUGAUCCUCAUUGCCUCUGAUUAGAGAUCAUAUUUAAGUAGGGGUUUUUCUCAUUGUUUGUGGGUUAUCUUUUGAGUAGUGUGUUUUCCUCUCUGCGUCACGGUUUGUUUUUGUGUUUUCAAGUUAUUUAUGUAUUGCAUUCAGUUUCACAUUUAAUCAAUAUGUGGAACUACGAAUACGCUGCAUUUGGUCCGCUCCUUUGAACAGCUGUGACAAAGUCAUAAUACUUGCCAACUAUCUGAUAUGAGAUUAAUUGAAAAGAUUGUAGAAUUUCAUCAAAUAGUUCUACACUGGCUUAUUUAUUUGAUAGGCCUACAUGUGUUUUGCUUAACUCAGGAAUGGGAGUGCCUUGCAUAGGAAGAUAAACUGUUAGGAGGAGGGUGCAGAGAUCUAGCUACAAGAUUUCAUGCCCAAGGAAAUCACAUUUCCUUUCUAUUGCUUGUUUAACAAUAAGUGGAAAUUCAUCUCAAGGGGCCUGGCGUUUACAUCAGUGAGAAUAGUUUCACAAGGCUAUCCAAGAUGAAGCUAAUCCUGAAAAUCUCCUUCACCUUCACACUGUUCUACACAGCAGACACACUACAGUGCUACACUUGUGAGUCUGAUGAGUGCAGUAAAACAACUUUAGAGAUGUGUUCUGGAGGAGAAGUGUGUUCCACUAUGACAACAGUAUUUGGUAAUUUAGUCACCAGAGUCUCUAAGGAAUGCACAACGAGAGAGGAAACCUGUGUGUUCAUGGAUGCAACAACAAAAAUAUCAAUCAGUGGUGGAUAUUCACACACCUCCAAUACCGGGUACUGCUGCAGCACGGACGGCUGUAACGAGAAUACUCUCCCUGUGCCCGCUGGUGAUGGAAGUAAUGAUGGACGACACCUGGGCUGUGCCUCCGCUGAUGUAUGCCACUGGCCCGAGACAUCCCCCUCUAUGCCUAACUUCAACUGUUGUAAAGGGAGUCUCUGUAACAAAGCCAUGGGGAUGAGUCUGAGCUCUCUCCCUCUUCUGCUGGGACUCCUCAUCAUCUCACUGGUCUAGUUAGUGGGAAGAUUCAUGGUAAUCCCAACCAUUAAGAGUGAGUGUUGUGUCCACAAGAUCAGGAAAUGGAGGUUAAUUUGUUUGUAGGAAUUAGGAAGGAUAAUGAUUUGUAUAAUGCUUUUAAAAUAAAUAGUAAUAUGUAAGACAGUUUUAGUAUCUUUAAUUUGGCACUCUACUAUGUAGUGGGAUAUGAUUUUCACAUCACUGUAUUCUAUAAAUGCAUAUUAUCGCUAUACCACUGCAGUGUAUGUUACAUAAUGUAUAGUACAAAGCUCAAGGUUCCACCAUUCCUCUCUCAUAGGGCCCGAUCACGCCUUUCCUACGCACUUCUCAGUAGUUGGGAUUUCAGAAGGUGCAUAACGGGCCUUACAGGUAUGGUUUCCUUGCGCGCACUGAAUAAACAAAUGUAAUUCAGCUGCUGAAAACCCUCCCACUUGCCGGCCAAUAUAUUUUCUCAUGGAGUUUUCAUUCAGUAGGGCUUUCAGUACAUUUAUCUUCAGCAUUCCCUUUAAAGCUACAAUAUGCAACUUUUUGGGUGACUUGACCAAAUUCACAUAGACACGUGAGUUGUAAUCUUUAAUUUCCAUUGAAAGCAAGUCUAAGAAGCGGUAGAUCUGUUCUGUGUACUAUUUCUAUGCUUCCUGUUCUGAAGUUCCAUUUUUGCAUAGUUUAUUUUUGGUUUUGUACACCACUUCCAAACAGCUGAAUAUGCAAUAUUUUUGGUUAUGGAAAAUAUAUUUCACAGCGGUUUAGAUGGUACAAUGAUUAUCUACACAAUGACUGCUUGUUAUGUCACAUUAACUGAAAUUACGAGAACUAUUAGAAUUCUUGCAAAUGGCAGUGAUUUCUGCACAGUGCGUCUUUACGGUGUACCUUUAAGUAGAAUUUUGUGGACAGACUAGAAUACAUUGAGAGAAUGGGUUCAGAAAAUAGGAAUCAAUGAGGGAAAGCCAACUAAAUAUAUGCAUAUUCGUCACCAUUUCAACACCAACUGGUAAAUGUAAAAAUACUCUGAUCUUGUAGAUUAUUUAGGCACAUUUUAGGGUUAGGAAAGUAUGAAUCAUAAAGAAACAGGUUUGGAGAGCCUUCAUGCACAAAAGACAGAGUACAAAAUAUUAGGAAUACCUGCUCUUUCCAUGAGACUGACCAGGUGAAUCCAGGGGAAAGCUAUGAUCCCUUAUUGAUGUCACCUGUUAAAUCAAUCCACUUAAAUCAGUGUAGAUGAAGGGAAGGAGAGAGGGUAAAGAAGGAUUUUUAAGCCUUGAGACAUUGAUUGUGUAUGUGUACCAUUCAGAGGGUAAAUGGGCAAGACAAAAGAUUUAAGUGCAUUUGAAUGGGGUAUGGUAGUAGGUGCCAGGCGCACUGGUUUGAGUGUGUCUAGAACUGCAACGCUGCUGGGUUUUUCAGCUCAACAGUAUGUAUUUUUAUUUUAUUUAACCUUUAUUUAACUAGGCAAGUCAGUUAAGAACAAAUUGUUAUUCACGGCCUACCCCGGCCAAACCCUAACCCGGACGACGCUGGGCCAAUUGUGCGCCACACUAUGGGAUUCCCAAUCACGGCCGGUUGUGAUACAGCCUGGAAUCGAACCACAGUCUGUAGUGAUGCCUUUAGCAUUGAGAUGCAGUGCCUUAGACUGCUGCACCACUGGGGAGCCCAAGAAUGGUCCACGACUCAAAGGACAUCCAGACAACUUGACACAACUGUGGGAAGCAUUGGAGUCAACAUGGGCCAGCGUCCCUGUGGAACGCUUACGACACCUUGUAUAAUCCAUGCCCUGACAAAUUGAGGCUGUUCUGAGGGCAAAGGGGCUGCAACUCAAUAUUAGGAAGGUGUUCCUAAUGUUUUGUACACUCAGGGUAUGUUGAUGAAUCAAAAAUACAGUGGUCUGAUUAAUUUUGAAAAUUGCCACUUUCAAAUCUUUAACCCAUGGUCAUGUUGGAAGAUUAGUGUAUAUACAAUGAUAGUAGGGAGAAUAGUGUAAAAUAGUAGGCCUCGUCUAUCGCCUGCACUAACCAUGGAACUGUGUGAUAACACAGCCAAGUACUGUGCCAUGUGUCGGGUUCAAACUGUUAUGGCUUGGUCUGCACUCAGCUCCAUAGCGAUUUAAUUAGCCUACAUGUCUUUUUGGUAACACUUUACUUGACACCCAGUGUCAUAACACGUUAUGACACGGUCAUAACCUAAUGUCAUACCAGCUGACAUUACGUGUAAUAACUUGUCAUAAUAUGAUUAUAACACUGUCAUGACACAUAUAUUUAGACUUGUUGUGACAAAUUGCAUUAUUUUAUGGCUGGUUAUGACACCUACAUAAGAGUGUCAAAACCCAUAAAACCUACCACACAAGGCAAAACAUUCCAUUACACCAUAGCCUACGUGUCAACAGUAUGUUUAUGUUUUAUAACAUUUUCUUAAAUGUAUCAUAUUAAAUUUUCAUUGUAAUUGCGUACACAUUGAUGUCAGACAUGCACCUACCCCAAUGCUCUGUUGCUGAUGACUGGGAUGAAUGCAGGAGCAGAUAUCAGGAGCAGGACAAGACACCCUCUUUUUGACUGAUGACUGACAUAAGGGCGUGUACGUGAUAGGCCUAUCUGGUUUAUAUGAUUAUGAUGGUCAUAGUGCUCCUUGACAGUGUCAUAAAGUGCAUUUUCUUAGUCCAAGUAAAGUGGCACAGGAUGGUCAUAGUGCUUCAUGGCAGUGUCAUAAAGUGCAUUUUCUUAGUCCAAGUAAAGUGGCACAGGAUGGUCAUAGUGCUUCAUGGCAGUGUCAUAAAGUGCAUUUUCCACAUGUUAUUUAAAAUGUGAUGAAGAAAACCGACUGUAAAGAUUUUAUUACAACAACAACAAAGGAUUUUAGAGACAAAAUUUCAAACGAAAGGAAACUGAAUAAAUGUGAGGUUUGACAUGCAUCUAAAACACGUGUCAUUUAUAUUUACAAUUCCCUUAUCCAAACUGAUUACUCAUUUAACUAGCUCUUAUCAAUAGCUCUAAUCAAGUUGCAAAUCACUGUGCAUAGAGAACGGUAUUACUUCUUUCAGAAAAAAAUUAAGUAGAUGUUUUUUCUCACUUGGAACCGGUAGGUUCGCUAGACCUUAUUCAUGGUUUCCUUGUGCGUAAAGGUGGUGGAAUUGUUAGAGAAUUAAGUCAAGGUCAGGAUACAAUGUAUCUGUAGACACACCUCUGCCACACCUUCAUUUAUCUGAUCUCCACCCCAAAUGAAUAGAGGGUGAAUAGCACGCUAUUCUCAUGCUUAGGUUUAAGGUCAGAAUAUGUACUCUAUAGAGAGAAAAGUGCAUAAAAAAGGGAAUAGCGUUCCAUUUACGCGCUUAAAACUCAGGUCGGAAUUGGGACCAUAGUGAUGGGGUAAUCCACGCUAUGCACGGUUAAUAACAAUGUGGGUUUCCUAAUUUGUGUUUAUGUUUGUUUUACAUUUUCUGUAUGAUUUUUACUUUUUAAAGUACUCUCGGAAGACUAGCCAUUGGUGGGCUAAGAGAGGUCCUAAUAAUAAAUAAACUAUUAAAAAACCCUGUGUUUCAUUCAUACCUGAAUGAGGGAGUGUGUCCUGAGAGUGCUUGACUCAACAGGUGUGUCUGUCUGGUCUGGAGAAGAAUCCUGGACAUACUGUACACUGAGUCUACAAAACAUUAGAAACACUUGCUCUUUCCAUGACAUACAUAGACUGACCAGGUGAAUCCAGUGAAAGCUAUGCUCCUUUACUGAUGUCCCUUUGAUGAAGAGGAGGAGACAGGUUAAAGAUUUUUAAGCCUUGAGAAAAUUGAGACAUUGAUUGUGUAUGUGUGUCUUUCAGAGGGUGAAUGGGCAAGACAAAAUAUUGAAGUGCCCUUGAAUGGGGUAUGGUAGUAGUCACGUUCAACAGUUUUCCGUGUUUAUCAAGAAUGGUCCACCACCCAAAGGACAUCCAGCCAACUUGACACAACUGUGGGAAGAAUUGGAGUCAACAUGGGCCACCAUCCCUGUGAAAUGCUUUCAACACCUUGUAGAGUCCAUAUCCGAUGAAUUUAGGUUUUUCUGAGGGAAAAAAGAGGUGCAACUCAAUAUUAGGAAGGUGUUCCUAAUGUUUUGUAGACUUAGUACACUCAGUGUAGAUCAAGUAAUUGACCAUUAUGAAAAUAGAGUCUAUAUGAAUGUUAAAAAAAACAUGAUUUGUUCCAGCUUGACCUUACUGUGAGCAUGAUUUGUUCCAGCUUGACCUUACUGUGAGCAUGAUUUGUUCCAGCUUGACCUUACUGUGAGCAUGAUUUGUUCCAGCUUGACCUUACUGUGAGCAUGAUUUGUUCCAGCUUGACCUUACUGUGAGCAUGAUUUGUUCCAGUUUGACCUUACUGUGAGCAUGAUUUGUUCCAGUUUGACCUUACUGUGAGCAUGAUUUGUUCCAGCUUGACCUUACUGUGAGCAUGAUUUGUUCCAGUUUGACCUUACUGUGAGCAUGAUUUGUUCCAGCUUGACCUUACUGUGAGCACAUAAAGGAAUGCAAAGGUGACAUUCACACAAAAAGGACGCCGUGUCAGCAGCAAAUGUGUUGAGCAAAUGUUGUAUAUUUUGUUUGGCAGACCUUUGUGUCCUCUAUGAUAAACCAACCACUCUACAGCCCUUGGAAAUAUGGAGAUAAAUGUCACAUUAUAACAAUACUGUACCUGAUACAUUUGGGGGAAUUUGGGAAAUGAAUGAUUAACUUAUGUGGAUAAGAAACGGUGUGAAUAGGCUGAACUAUCAGUAAAUGAUGUGAAACAGUUGAAAGACUCCUGAAAGACAGCUGUAUUUGUAAGGAGCUCCGUUCAUUUGUACCUCA